rnacentral:rRNA from 2 species
UACGUAGGCAGCGAGCGUUGUUCGGAGUUACUGGGCGUAAAGAGUGCGUAGGCGGUCCUGUAAGUUUGGUGUGAAAUCUCCCGGCUCAACUGGGAGGGUGCGCCGAAGACUGCAGGGCUUGAGUAUGGGAGAGGUAAGCGGAAUUCCUGGUGUAGCGGUGAAAUGCGUAGAUAUCAGGAGGAACACCUGUGGUGUAGACAGCUUACUGGACCAUCACUGACGCUGAGGCACGAAAGCGUGGGUAGCAAACAGG